rnacentral:rRNA from 1 species
CGGCGAAAGCCGGAUUAAUACCGCAUACGAUCUAUGGAUGAAAGCGGGGGACCUUCGGGCCUCGCGCUAUAGGGUUGGCCGAUGGCUGAUUAGCUAGUUGGUGGGGUAAAGGCCUACCAAGGCGACGAUCAGUAGCUGGUCUGAGAGGACGACCAGCCACACUGGGACUGAGACACGGCCCAGACUCCUACGGGAGGCAGCAGUGGGGAAUUUUGGACAAUGGGCGAAAGCCUGAUCCAGCAAUGCCGCGUGUGUGAAGAAGGCCUUCGGGUUGUAAAGCACUUUUGUCCGGAAAGAAAUCCUUGGCUCUAAUACAGUCGGGGGAUGACGGUACCGGAAGAAUAAGCACC